rnacentral:snRNA from 1 species
AUACUCUGGUUUCUUUUCAGCUCAUAUAAAUCUUUUGCUUUUUUUCAAAGGAUGUCACUUGUUUAGGAACAA